AUAAAAACAUCUUUGUUCUUUCGCUCUUGCUCAGGGUAACGGGAAGACCUGGCCUUGAAGGUGUUCCAUAAUGAAAUCACUCAGGGCAAAUGGUGAUAGUAGGAGAGUGCACUUUGCCAACAGUGAAGUCGGAUCUGAAGAAGAGAAUGAGGCAGACCUACUCCUGCCUACUACUUUGGUGUUCUCUUACCUGCUAAGUAUGCACGUCAACUACUUUGGUGUUCUCUUACCUGCUAAGUAUGCACGUCAACCUCAUCCAGAAACAAGGCUGUCAGUACCACAAAAGUGUCCUGCCUUCCUUCCCCUGCUGUCAUUACCCCACCUUAAACUAUACAUUAGCUUUGACAGUAUUUGAACUAUUUUAAGACAUAUAAUAUUGUUUUAUUUGGAUCUAUCGUGUGUGUGUGUGUGUGUGAGAGAGAGAGAGAGAGAGAGAGAGAGAGAGAGAGAGAGAGAGAGAGAGGAGAGUCAUUUAUGUGGCAGCUAUCUGUGUUCAUUUGACUUACCUAUUUCUGUGUGAAUAAAGGACACGUUAUCCAUUU